rnacentral:rRNA from 1 species
AUUUAACGCUGGCGGCAGGCCUAACACAUGCAAGUCGAACGAGUGGCGGACGGGUGAGUAAUGUCUGGGAAACUGCCCGAUGGAGGGGGAUCACUACUGGAAACGGUAGCUACUACCGCAUACCAUCUGAUGUGCCCAGAUGGGAUUAGCUAGUAGGUGGGGUAACGGCUCACCUAGGCGACGAUCCCUAGCUGGUCUGAGAGGAGGACCAGCCACACUGGAACGGAGACACGGUCCAGAAGCCUGCGGGAGGCAGCAGUGGGGAAUAGUGCACAAUGGGCGGAAGCCUGAUGGAGCCAUGCCGCGUGUCUGAAGAAGGCCUUAGGGUUGUAAAGUACUUUCAGCGAGGAGGCGUUACUCGCAGAAGAAGCAACGGCUAACUCCGUGCCAGCAGCCGCGGUAAUUC